AAAGAGCCGCACAAAGUUGCAGCCGUAGCUUUUCCUGCCCUCCCUCUCAAGGAGGGUCCAGCGAACGUGCUUCGGUUGCCGUUCCAGCUGCUCAGACCGAACACCCAGGACCCUUCUGUCGACCACACAGACACCGCAGGCGGCGCCUCGCCUCCCUUCGGGGGCUGCUCUCGAGACUUCCGUUGGCGCCGGACCCGAUGCCGCGCUUCCUCGCACGGGAUGCGCUGGCUGAUAUGAGGGCGCUGGGUCUCGAGGGUGGCAGUGCGGGGCGUUGCUCGGAGGGCCUACAUUCUCCCCCGUCCCCUUGACUCGACGCAUCGCCGCAGGAUCGACUUCGGAGCUCGAGGGCGAGUCGACGACGGCUUCUUUCGCCUCGCUCGA
rnacentral:misc_RNA from 1 species